UACGUAGGGGGCAAGCGUUGUCCGGAUUUAUUGGGCGUAAAGAGCGUGUAGGCGGCCUGACAGGUCUGCUGUGAAAACUCGAGGCUCAACCUCGAGAUGUCGGCGGAAACCGUCUGGCUAGAGUCCGGAAGAGGAGAGUGGAAUUCCUGGUGUAGCGGUGAAAUGCGCAGAUAUCAGGAGGAACACCCGUGGCGAAGGCGGCUCUCUGGGACGGUACUGACGCUGAGACGCGAAAGCGUGGGGAGCGAACAGG
rnacentral:rRNA from 1 species